rnacentral:lncRNA from 1 species
ACAGGCUUUCUCUUUGUAAUCUUAGUUGUCCUAGAACUUGCUCUGGAGACCAGGCUGGCCUUAAACUCAUUGAGAUCUACCUGUUUAUACAUCCCAAAUAAUAACUCAGCAAAACUUUUUGUGAGCACUAGUAUUGGAGAAAACCAACUCAGGGCCUUGUACUUGGUGCCCAGUAUAAUCCCAACAACACAUGAGAACAUUAAAAUGGACUUUUUCCCAUUUAAAGAGAGCAAAGGGCUAUCUGUGGUAGCACAGACCUGCAGUCCUAUCACUUGGAAGGCUGAGGCAGGAGGGCUCAAGGUUCAAGGCCAUUCUGUGUUCUCUAUCAGAAGACUGUCUUGGGCAGAAGAGAGGGAGAAGGGGAGGAGGCAGGCAGGCCAGGCUUUAGUACACACCUUUAAACCAAGCACUCAGGGAGCAGAAGGAACUCUCUUUGAGUUCAGAGCCAUCCUGAUCUACAUAGCUAGUUCCAGGCCAACCAGAGCUACAUAGUGAGAUACUCUUUCAGAAAGAGAGUGGAUGUUUUACCAAAAUGUCCUAGCCAAGUGUAUGCAGCUCAGAAAGAAAAAGCACAUGGGUCUCAAAGGAAAGGGGAAAUCUUGUCUUUAUUCUCAGAUGUCAUGAUUUAGAGUACAAAAAAAAAAAAAAUCCACUGAAACUACUAAGUUGAAUUAAGCAAAACCGCAGAAGAUAAUAUCUAUUAUAACAUCAAUAUAUUAAAUUGUUCUCAAGUUUUUAAUUUUCAAGUUAUACAAUGAGUUUCAUCAUGGUACUUCAUAUAAAUGUGCAGAAGUUUGUCCUUUGUUCCUCUUCUCUGUGUCCCCUCCACAUCAGCAACCAGAGAAAAGCCAGCCAUAACAUGUUUAACAUGCCCAAGACCCUAGAUUUGCCUAUGUUUGUGCUAUACCAAUGGGGGGGGGGGGGCAGAUGAAGAUUAUUUGUAUGUACUAAAAACAAUUAGAUUAAAAUUUAAAAUAUAUACUAUUUUUAUGGCAUCCAAGAACAUGAAAUACACAUGAGUAAUUAUAGAUCUCUGCUGAAAUCUAUAGAAUAAUGUCAAGGAAAUCUAGACUGUAACCUGCUCAUGACACAAAACACUGUGAGGUUGAUUAUCUUCACACUGCAUUCUUUGGUGGUUUGGUGUUGUUAUAGAGACAGAACAUACGUGCUAAGAAAGCACAUUACCAUGAAAUUACAUAUCCAGCCCCUGACAUUGAUCGCUAUAUUCAAUAAAAUCUGAAAAUUUUCAAAUUUUAUUGAAUUUUUUUGUACUUUAAAUUUUUAUUGGAGUAUAUUCAUUGUACAUAGAGAUGGGUUUCAUAACGGCAUUUUUUUGAGUCAGUUUCUCACUAUGUAGCUCUGGUGUCCUGGACUUUUCCAAUGCAGAUCAGGCCUGCCUCUGCCUCUGAGUGUGGGAUUAAAGGUGGUGCCACUUCAUCCAGCGCCAUUAAAACACUUUGAUUUAUUUAUAGAUCUCUCCAACAGAAAUUUGAAAGGGAGCCAGGGAAUAGUGGCACACAUCUUUGAUCCCAGCAUUCAGGAGACAGUGGCAGGUGGAUCUCUGAGUUGGAGGCCAACCUAGACUACAGAACAGCCAGGGCUACACAGAGAAGCCCUGUCUUGGGGUAGGGAGAAGUAGGGAUUCAAAGGACUUUUUGUGGAAACUAAUAUAUCAAUUGUAUAUGUGAAAAUGGAAAAAUCGGAGAUAGCUACAAGUCUUCUUUCUGAUUUUUUUUAUAUUUAUUUUAUGUGUAUGAACGUUUUACCUAUACAUACGUGUAUGCACCACAUAAUUUGCCUGCAAGGUCAGAAGAAGGCAUCAGAUCUCCUGGAACUGAAGGUACAGAGAGUUAAGCUAUCCUGUUGGUGCUGGGAACACCUCCACUGAUGAGCCAUCUUUCCAGCCACUACAGCCUUUUCUUUUGGUGCUCAGGGUGGAAGCCAGGGCCUUUCGCAUAAAAGCCAAGUGCUCUACCACUAAACUACACCCUCAGCCUUAAAAUAUUUGUUUAAAAUAAAAAGAUCAGCUCAAGCAUUCAUGCUGCCUGAUCCGAUGAUCUACUAUCAAACUAGGGUGCCUCUAGCUUGAGGGCAGAAAUGCAGACCUAUGAAAAGGAACCAGUCCAGAAAGCCUGACCGACAGGAUCAAUAGACAACAAAGAUGCCUCGGUCAGUGUACAGGAAAGGAUGGUCUUUUACAGGAUUGGUGUUGGGGGACUUGCAUUUGGGGAAAGCAGGAGGGGAGGGAUUAGCAGUGAACCUUUCCUACUGUAUAAAUAAGAAUGGACUCAAAAGAAUGUAGUAGCAUAUGCCUGGAGUCCCAGAUACUCAGGAGGCGGAGACAAAUGCUCACAAGUUCAAUGCCAGUCUUUACAAUAUGUGACACUGUUGUGGAGUUCAUGACCCCUGGGGAAAAAAACCACACUCAGUCCAGAUUGUAAUUAGUUAAAUCUAUUGAAGCUCUAGCAGGUCAACAAUCCCUGACCCAAAGGAGAUUGCUAUGUGAAGGGAGUAAGGGAAGGGUUUUAAAAGGCAAAGGCCACCAGACCUUGAAUAUCUGCACAAGCAAGCCAAGAGCUAUUCUGUCUGCCAAGAUUAGGUACCCAAGGCAACCUUAAAAUAGUCCUUGAAUGUCUGCAUAAGCAAGUUACAGAGGCCAAAAGGCAGUCAUAUCAUAACAAGUAGAUGGCACAGCUGGACUCGCCUGUGUAAAGGGUGACUACAUCUGGGUUACGGGAAAGUUAUCUUCCAGAUAUCAGAGUCAAAGACAAAUGACCAGUGGGUGUCAGAACGGAUGCCUGGCAUAAAAGGGAGUUUCUUUAGCCAUCACAGCAUCAUCCUAGAAAAGGUCAUUCAAAAUCUAUCAUACACCUAAGAAUCAUAUACCUAAGAAUCAAAGUUAAAAUCAGAGUCAGGUGAGGAGGUGGAGGGUCACACCUAUAAUUCCAACACUGGGGAGGGAGAGGUAAAAGAAUCUUUUGAGUUCAAAAACAGCCUUGCUACAUACCCAGACCUUGCUACAUACCCAGACCUUGUUUUGG